UUACGGUCAUAUCACGUUGAAAUAUUGGUUCCCGUACGAUCACCGAAGUUAAGCAACAUCUAACCUGGUCAGUACCUAGAUGUGUAACCGAUUGGGAAUACAAGCUGCUGUAA